CCCGCCGCUCCCGGCUUGGGCCGCCCGAAUCUCACCCAGGCCUUCUCAUCGCACGGGAAAGAAGAAGCCGGGAGGGAGGUCCUGGAGCAGAUCGAAGAGAAGGAGAAGCUGUACGACCUCAUCCUGCGCCAUGGCUAUAAGCGCAACGACGGCUCGAUGUGCUACUCAAACGUCCAGCUCAUGCAUCAUCUCUCCGCGCACAUCAAACCUAGGCCCGAAAGCAUCGCGUGGCGUUACCUUCGGAAAGUGCAUAGCUUCUAUAUUCUCUGGAUGUGCUUAAGCCCUGGCGUAAGCGCCUACGCAAUCUGGAAUAUCUAUAAAGCGGGGGGCAGUGGAAAGAACUUGGGUGCUGUUCAACAGGGAGGAGAUGAGUUGAGGAAGAAGAAUUGCAUCAGUCAGGGGGGAAGAAGUAGUUUCCUGCUGAAGGUGAAGAACUCAAGAUUGUCAGUGGACUGAUGGAGGUGUUGAAUAUUGGCUGUGAAGUUGUUGGAUAAUCGGUUGAUAGUGAUGUCUUGGAGAAUUCUCUGACGUUGUUUGAUGAUGCUUAACUUAUAUAUUAGUUAUUUUGUGAGAUUUGCUUGUCCAUAUGGUUGUGGUGGUCUCUGCAUCAAAAAAAAUU